AUAUCAGUAAGCGGAGGAAAAGAAACUAACCAGGAUUCCCCUAGUAACGGCGAGUGAAGCGGGAAGAGCUCAAAUUUAAAAUCUGGGAGCUUUAGGUGGCUCCCCGAAUUGUAGUUUGAAGUGGCGUGUUCUGUGGCGGCAGCCUGGCGGGUCCAAGUCCCUUGGAACAGGGCGUCAGAGAGGGUGAUAACCCCGUGUCGUGGCCCGCUCCGCUUUUCGCCGCCGCAAAUAUGACGCGUCUACCAAGAGUCGGGUUGCUUGGGAAUGCAGCCCAAAGUGGGUGGUAAACCUCAUCUAAGGCUAAAUAACGGCGAGAGACCGAUAGCGAACAAGUACCGUGAGGGAAAGAUGAAAAGAACUUUGAAAAGAGAGUUAAACAGUACGUGAAAUUGUUAAAAGGGAAACGCUUGAAAGCCAGUGACCGAAAGGAUACUGCGGCCGGGGAAUCAGCUGGUGGGGCGGGGUAGCCCGUCCCGCCGGUGCACUUCCCCGGUCGUGAGGCCAACGUCAGCUUUUUUCAAGCCGGCUGGAAAAGGGGGCCUGGGAAGGUGGGUCUUAUUGAGGCGCUCGCGCCUUGUUCGACUGUUAUAGCCCGGGUCUCACAAACACAGGCCGGGAAGGCUGAGGAUUAUCGGCGCCUCUUUUUUGGGGGCCCCUGCCCCUGG
rnacentral:rRNA from 1 species